GAGCCCCUAGUAAAACAUUACAUAGCCCUGUCAGCGCUAAAUUAUAGAGUAGAACCUCUGUGGGACUCC
rnacentral:tRNA from 1 species